rnacentral:rRNA from 1 species
UUNGUCGACGUAACAAGUCGAGCGGGGAAGGUAUACGACGGUAGCUUAGGAAUCUGCCAUUAGUGGGGGACAACGUUCCGAAAGGAAUGCUAAUACCGCAUACGUCCUACGGGAGAAAGCAGGGGAUCUUCGGACCUUGCGCUAAAUGAUGAGCCUAAGUCGGAUUAGCUAGUGGUGGGGUAAAGGCCUACCAAGGCGAACGAAUCUGGUUAGCCGGGGUUUCUUGAAGAAAGGAUAGAUUCCGGCCAACAACUUGGGGGAACUGGAAGAAACAACCGGGCCCCCAAACUUCCCUUACCGGGGGAAGGGCAAGCCAGUGGGGGGAAGGUUAUUUGGGACCAAAUGGGGGCCAAGAAAGGCCCUUGAAUUCCAAGCCAAUGCCCGCGGUUGUUGUAGAAGAAGGGCCCUUUUGGGUUUGUAACAGGCACUUUAAGCCGAGGAGGAGGCUCUCCUAGUUUAAUACCUAGCGAUGAAGUGGACGUUACUUCGCAGGAAUAAAGCACCGGCUAACUUCUGUGGCCAGCCAGCCGCGGGUAAUNCAGAGGGUGCCGAGNCGUUAAUCGGAUUUACUGGGGCCGUAAAGCCGUUGCCGUAAGGCGCGCUUNUAUAAGNUCCGGGAUAGUUAAAUCCCCGAAGCUUAACUUGGGAAAUUGCUUUCCCGA